rnacentral:snRNA from 1 species
AGACCUCUCUUGGCCUUUUGGCUAAGAUCAAGUGUAGUAUCUGUUCUUAUCAGUUUAAUAUUUUUAUAUUCUACAUUACCCAUAAUUGUUGAGAGGACAGAAUAGAAAUUGUGUAAAACAUCUCUAUCCCUACAUUUUCAUAAAUAGGCUCUUGUAGACCUAGU